rnacentral:rRNA from 1 species
UUUUUACGGAGAGUUUGAUCCUGGCUCAGGACGAACGCUGGCGGCGUGCUUAACACAUGCAAGUCGAACGAUGAUGCCCAGCUUGCUGGGUGGA